rnacentral:rRNA from 1 species
CAUGCAAGUCGAACGAAGCCUUCGGGCUUAGUGGCGCACGGGUGAGGAACACGUAGCUUAUCUGCCCCCAAGCGCGGGAUAACGCUCCGAAAGGAGUGCUAAUACCGCAUAAGCUCACGCGCUAUAGAGGCGUGUGAGAAAAGGCUUCGGUCACUCGGGGAGGAGGCUGCGGCCCAUCAGGUAGUUGGUGUGGUAACGGCGCACCAAGCCAACGACGGGUCGGGGACCUGAGAGGGUGACCCCCCACACUGGGACUGAGACACGGCCCAGACUCCUACGGGAGGCAGCAGUGAGGAAUAUUGCCCAAUGGACGCAAGUCUGAGGCAGCGACGCCGCGUGGGUGAAGAAGGCCUUCGGGUCGUAAAGCCCUUUUCUGUGUGACGAGCAAGGACGGUAGCACAGGAAAAAGUCUCGGCUAACUACGUGCCAGCAGCCGCGGUAAAACGUAGGAGGCAAGCGUUAUCCGGAGUUACUGGGCGUAAAGCGUGCGUAGGCGGAUGGGUAAGUGGGUGGUGAAAGCGCCGGGCUAAACCGGGCGAGGACCAUUCAGACUGCUCGUCUAGAGGCGGGUAGAGGGGUGCGGAAUUCCGGGUGUAGCGGUGAAAUGUGUAGAGAUCCGGAGGAACACCAGUGGUGCAAACGGCGCCCUGGGUCCGAACUGACGCUGA